AUUUCCCUCCAGCAGCUCCUGGGCCCUCAUUGGGCGAUCCAGGCUUGGUUUUCCCACAUAGAUAUCGCUGUCCGCUGGGAAGGCCCUCAGGAGAGACAGAAGGGCUCCAGGGUUCAGUCUGCGGCUGUCGCUUCCUCUUAUUGGCACAGAGGCAAAGGGCACACAAACAGAAGCACCAAAACUGACAAGCACAAACAACAUCCUGUGCUUAAAAACCCGCUGUUGGAGCUUGAAAUGUAAUUUGAACAACCCUAAUCAUCAAAUGUAAUGGAAGACAAAACUCAAAGACUUACACCGAACGAGAGACUGAAGCCACAUCAACAGACUAGAAUAUCAUAGAGACACCCCCUAGCGACCACCUACUAUAAGAAUUACACAGUUAUAAACUUGAAUAUGACUUUUUUUAUUUUCUCAGAAUUUCGAGUUAAAUGUGUUUAGAAAAUCUGAAAUUAUGAGUUUAUAUCUCGCAGUUUUGAAAAGAAUCAAAAAGUCAAAAUCGUCAGAUAUAAAAGAGAAAAGUCAGAAAUUAUAAGAUAAAAAGAACAUCAACAAAAAAACAACUGCAAAAUAUAAACUCAAAAGGCAGAAUUCUGGGGAUUGUAUUUCACAAUUUUGGCCUUUUUUUAGAAUUGCAAGUUCUUGUCAUUCUGAACGCACGUUUUUGCAAUAAUUUGCUGUCAAUUGACCCUUCGCAGGGAGCUUGAUUGACAGGUGAUCUGACCAAUCACAAUGUACCAGAAGUAACAUACUUGGUCCUGUCUGACGGAGUUUUGUCAGUUUCCUCUUUACUCCAUGAUGUAUUUUUUACUGUAUAAGAACAUGAUGUGUGGCAUAAGAGUGGCAUGGCUUGUCGGACAUAGCAACAGUAACAAAGGAGGGUAGGUUUUUUUGCGAAGGUUCAGUUGUGAGAAAAUUUUCAUAAUUGUAAAAAUAAAAGUCGCAAACAUGCAAUUUUUAUUCCGUGGUGGGGGGGGAGGAUGACAGAACUGCAAAAUAUAACCUCAAAAUUCUGGGUGGUUUAUCUCAUUAGUUUGACUUUUUUUCUUAGAAUUGCAAGUUUAUAGAUUAUCUUAAUUCUGAACACACAUUCUUGUCGUAAUUUGCUGUCAAGUAUAAUUAUUAUACUGUAUGAUUUGUUGUCUGUGCUGCAAUAAUUUAUUGUAAAUAAAUGGAUAAUUUAUUACAGAAACAAUCUAACGUGUGUUUACACAACACCAUUAAAAAAAAAAUCUGAAAACGUUUUAUGCGUUUUGGCUGUUCAUUUAUAUGACAACAGUGUUUUAGGGGCCUGAAAAUACAAAGAUAUUAAAACGAGUUUCAAAAUGUCUAUUUUU